AAAGUUGUAUGUGUAGUGAAUGUUUAGGAUGUGGAUGAUUAGUUUGGAUGAAUGUUUAGGAUGUGAUGUGGAUGAUUAGAUUAGGUGAAUGUUUAGGAUGAUUAGAUUAGAUGAAUGUGGAUGAUUUAGAUUAGGUGAAUGUUUAGGAAAGUGUAGAUGAAUGUUUAGGAUGGUGUAGAUGAAUGUGGAUGAUUAGAUUAGAUGAAUGUUUAGGAUGUGGACGGUGUAGAUGAAUAUGUAUAGGAUGAUGGUGUAGAUGAAUGUGUAGAAAGUGAAUGAUCAGAGUAGAUGAAUGAUGAAUAUGUAGAUUGAUGGUAUGUAGAGAGCAGGUGAAUGUUGUAUGUUGCUAAAUUUGUUUUCACGUUGCUGGUCAUAACCAAAAUCGAU
rnacentral:lncRNA from 1 species